ensembl:lncRNA
CACUUAGAGGUGCCCCAGUAAAGCACAGCCCGGAAUGCCUGGCUAAUAAAGUGUCAGCAGCAGGGGGAUUACGAGGGAGAUUUACAAGAGUGCAUGAGUUUAGUUGCUGCUGGAGACAUCCGAUACACUCUGUGUUUGAUUCCAGGCUUUGAGACAGCAAUGAAAUAAGCCUGCAGACUUGUGUCAAAAAGCAUUUCAGGGGGAACACUUCUGCCUCGCGUACCUGCAGGAGUCCCAGCAGAUGCCUUGAUAUGGCAUUCAGCUUUCUCCUUUUCCCAGUCCCCCUCCUAAACGUGUAUGCAAUGGAGUAUAAACUACCGAGUUUGGGCCAGAAGUUGCCAGAGCUGUGGGGAGGAGGAAAAGCAAGUGCUUGAAGCAGACAUUCUCUGAGUGGGACAUUUCUCAAGAUGGGAUGGCCAAUAGCCUUUGUGCCAGUGGCAGCUCAGUGCUUUCUCCUCCGACAGCACCGAGCAGCAGGAAGAUCUGCUCCAUGGCUCCUGUCUACCUUGAGGCACUGAGGGAGCAUCUGUAAACUAGUCCAGAUUUGUUUGUAAAGUUUCAUUCACAGCUCCCCUUUGGCCAAGGAAAGACCGAAGGCAAAUCCACUUUGGUGCCAGAACAAAGGGAUUUGGAGGAGCCUGGAUUCCCAGCAGCACAAAACUUCAGCACCACCAGGAGAUGACACAGCAGCUCAUAGAUGACUUUCACUAUCUGAUCAGACAACUUCUUAAUCAGCAGAGACAGUGCUCACUGUCAGAAAAAUGUCACAUGAGUCAGCUUUCAUCUGCAGGGAACAGGUUCUGCUCCUGCACAACUAAUGGGAGUCCAGUUGUUCUCCAUAUUCAUUGUCUCAUGCUGCACUGUCUGCCGUUCCCAGGCUCUCCUGGCCCUCGUGGCCACAGAGGUUCGGCACACAAACAAGGUUACAGCAGUGAAAAUCAAAGCCAGCAAGAGCAAAACUGCCCUUACAACUACACUGGGUUGUGGUUAUAAGCCCCUGAACUGGCUCUUUAAAUAAUUCAGGAAUAGAUUUGAAAAAUACAACCCCUCAUUUAAAAGGAAGGAGUUUCUCAAGUAACAGAUUCAAUGUUGGAAGAGUAAUAGAUGCCUAUAAUUUCCAUAAUAAACAUCCUCUCUUUAAAAGUAGGAGUAGAAACUGUCACCGUAGUUAAACAUAAAAUUAAGACAUGAUUUCUCAACUCCUCACGAGCUUUGUGUUUUGCUGAAGUAGUUUAUGAACCACGUUUGCCUUUAAUAAAGUCCAUGUAUUUGCAUAUCAUGACCACAAGAGAGAGCUUUAGUGUUGGAUGUUGUACGCUCCCGUGGCAGAAGACUCAGCAGCUCAGUAGCACAGUAAUUUUAACUGGCACUUUUCAAGCAUGACGAGGAUGCCAACGCAAAUCACCUAAUCCAGAUCACCAAAUGUGUACUCACUUUCCACCAUACAGGCAACCUCCAUGUGUCCUGAAAACAACUGCCUGAGCAACAUGUUGUCAAAACAUGUCAUCUAGCAUCUACCAUCUUUUUCCCCGCAGAUGAGAUUGAGUCCCCCUGAAAACCUGAUCCAAAAAGUUUCUGAGCAGCCUCAAAAAGAGGAGAAAUGAUAGAAUGCUUCCAAAAGGAAGGUGUGAUAUCUGUUCUUACUGACUUGUCGGGGUGAUAUCAUCUUCUAUGUAACCUGAUAUAUUAAAUGCACAUACCCAUACAUAUGCAUACAUACAUACACACAUAUAUACAUGUAUAUAUAUAAAUAUAUACAUAUAUAUAUACACAUACAUAUAUGUAAACCCAGUCUUUUCCAUACACCACCCUUCUCUGCUCAAACAGCCUCCCAGUUCUGCCCUGCUAAGCAGCUAGUCUCAUUCCAUUCAAAUCCUUACCUGAGAUUAAUUUCUCCCAUGAUAUCCAUAAGGGCUUUAAUAAUAAUGAUUAUACUGCCGUCCAACCACCUCAGGCUCUCCACCCAUCUCCUCCCUAUUGUGUAUUACCUUCCACUCAUUUUCUCCCAGAUAAAACAAACUCUUGAGGGCAGAGACCUGCUGGCUCUUCUAGUCUUCUGGGUGUUGUAAAAGCAAUAAGGCAAUAUCACACAUAAAGCACAGUAUUCAAAUGAUACUGAGUCAAAUGUAAACGAAGAAAAGCAGGUCAUUCAGAGUUACCUCACCGUGAAGUGUCUAGAUGCAUCACAUUCCUGCAGCUUCCCGGAUAUGGUAUGUAAUGAAAAUGGUGAAUAAUCCUGUGUGCAUGCAUUAUACCUUUCAUCCCAAAGAACACUCAAUUACUUUACUAAUUGCUUGUGCAAAGUAUCUACAUGAGAACCUCUUUGCUCAUCAGUGAAAUGCGGCCAGAGCAACAGCAGAGCACAGAACCAGCACAAUUCAUUGAAAGGCUUAAGACAAACUCAUGGGCUCUGGGGGAGAAAAUUAGGGAUUUGGAGACAACCUUUAAAUUGAUGCUCCUUCCCUUUGCUGGAAGGGGAGGGUCUGAUCCUGAAAGAUGCUGAGUAUUUACAAUUCCCUUGGACUCAGCAGCAUCAGCCUUAUCUGCAGCUCCUGAAAUACCACUCAACAGCGAGUGUCAGCAAAGGUUGCUAUUUGCUAGGACUAUGUAUUAGCUUACUUUUGAAACAUACACCCUGGAUGUUUCUGAGUUAAUAUACCAUUAACUAUUUUUAAAUAACACCUUGGAAAAUUUCCUUGAACUUGCAGUGGCCCAUUUUGUACCUGGAAAUAUGAGAAGAACAAAACCUUGUCCUGGAUAGAAUGCAUUUUCAAUUCUGAGGCACUUUGUCGUGCAAAUGAUUUCACCAUCUUGGUUUUACAGAUGGGGAAACUGAGGCACAGGAAGAGAAAUGACUUGUCCAAAGCUGAUCAUCUGCUCAAAGCACACGGACCACCAAGUGGUGGCCCCAGCUUUUGGAAAGACGUACCUCUUCCAAACAUCUACGUUUCAGAAAGUUGCUGAAGUCCUACACAGAGCAACAAGAUUUUGAAUAGUUAAAGGAAUUUAUGCUCUCAGAUCUUUCUGUAAGCAUGGAGCCAGAUACAUCCUCUCGUUUUACAACAUGCAUAUGCAUCUUCUAACAGGCAUUGUCUAUCUCUUCAUCUGCACCACACUCAUCAGAUAACACUAUCUGAAACUUCUUUUUUCCCCAAGAGAUCAUAAAAGUUUCAGCGUUUACUCAAAAUGUUUUGCCUUGUUUUCAGUUUGACAGACUCUGCAAUGGCUCCAAAGAUAACAGGGCAGCUGCCAGUUCUCCUCAUGUGUUGAGCUGAAUUGUAGAUGCCUGUCUACAGUGGUAUGUUUCCUUGGUAGUUUUAGAUACUCUGAAACAGAAUUUUCCAGUCUUCUCAAAUAUGUAAAAUACGAAAUGGCCAGAAGCUAUCCAGAUUACACAACAGUGACAUUUCUGAAAGCUGAGAAGAGGCAAAACAACAGUCCUUGUGAUGCAGAGCCUCUGACAGAGCCUUCCUCCAAAAUUUCUACUCAGAAAUGGUUUCAGCCCAAACAUCUUCAAUACCAGCUUUUAAGAAACUAGAAAUUUCCAGGCCUACAAGUAUGUCUUCUGAUAAAAACACGAGUCCAAAGUUAUGGUGAAUUUGCAUAGGACCAGGAUUUGGAUCCAUCUUCUAGAAACGCGAUGUGGACAGGGACUGAUUGAAGGAGAUGACACAGACAACAACGAGGGCAAAGCCCCUGCUGUACAGACACUCAGACCACUCAUUUGCUGGGCUCCUGUGCCGUUGCCAAGCCUCACGCUUCCCCCAUGCAGCCUUGGGAGGCGUCUGUGCAGCCUGCUGCCCUGGAUGAUGCUGUUAACCACAGCUUGGGAACUGUCCCAGAGACUCUGCCGGUGCCUAGAUCUGCCCUUUGAUGUUCUGCAGCUUUCCAAGUCAAAGGGCAGUUUGGUCCAGAAAGCGGUGAAGAAAGAUGAAUACAGCCAAUGAACAUUUCCUCAAGCAGCAAAACGCACGAAGCCUGCUUGGUAAUUGGGUCUCAUAGCUGCUGCCUCUCAUAUCUGAGGUAGAAGCUGAUGGGAUAUUUGCAAUGUCGCACUCUCCUCUAGCUUCUCUAGUGUUUGUUAAGAGCUAAGCUCUGGUUACAGCCUUAGUGGGAUUUAACAAGAUCUCUCUCCCUUCUAUCCAGCCGUCUAUUUUUGUGAAAAUCACAGCAACCUGAUUAUUUCUGAGACCUCUGCCCCCUUGUCAAUUUUGAUUGGAGUUGGCCCAGGAGUUCAAAAGGCUG